rnacentral:rRNA from 1 species
UCCUACGGGAGGCAGCAGUAGGGAAUCUUCGGCAAUGGACGAAAGUCUGACCGAGCAACGCCGCGUGAGUGAAGAAGGUUUUCGGAUCGUAAAACUCUGUUGGUAGAGAAGAACGUUGGUGAGAGUGGAAAGCUCAUCAAGUGACGGUAACUACCCAGAAAGGGACGGCUAACUACGUGCCAGCAGCCGCGGUAAUACGUAGGUCCCGAGCGUUGUCCGGAUUUAUUGGGCGUAAAGCGAGCGCAGGUGGUUUAUUAAGUCUGGUGUAAAAGGCAGUGGCUCAACCAUUGUAUGCAUUGGAAACUGGUAGACUUGAGUGCAGGAGAGGAGAGUGGAAUUCCAUGUGUAGCGGUGAAAUGCGUAGAUAUAUGGAGGAACACCGGUGGCGAAAGCGGCUCUCUGGCCUGUAACUGACACUGAGGCUCGAAAGCGUGGGGAGCAAACAGGAUUAGAAACCUGGAGUCCA